GAAGCAGAAGCACAAGAAGCUUCUUAUCAAGAUUCAUGGAAUCCCUGCACUAUUUUGCAGCCAUGUUUGAUUCUUUAGAAGAUUGCCUUCCAUUAGAAAGCUCAGAGAGAUUAAGCAUAGAGAAGAACCAUCUUGGAAAAGGGAUCAAAAGCAGGCUCAACUAUGACAGAUGUAAUGAUACUGAUUCAAACUGUCCAAGAUAUGAGAAGAUGGAAGCAUGGAAGGGAAGGAUGGAGAGCCAUGGAUUCUCAGGCAUUAAACUAAGCUCCAAAUCUUUGAUUCAAGCCAAGCUCCUUUUGAAAAUUAGGAACCAUUAUAGCCCUCUUCAAUUUGAUGGAGGGAGCAGUAGUAGUGGGUUUAGAGUAUUUGAAAGAGAUGAUGGAAGAGCUAUUUCUCUAGGGUGGCAAGAUAGGUGUUUACUUACUGCCUCUGUAUGGCAUUGU
rnacentral:misc_RNA from 1 species